AACGAACGCUGGCGGCAGGCCUAACACAUGCAAGUCGAACGCCGUAGCAAUACGGAGUGGCAGACGGGUGAGUAACGCGUGGGAACCUUCCCAGUGGUACGGAAUAACUCAGGGAAACUUGAGCUAAUACCGUAUACGCCCCUCGGGGGAAAGAUUUAUCGCUAUUGGAUGGGCCCGCGUCGGAUUAGCUAGUUGGUGAGGUAACGGCUCACCAAGGCGACGAUCCGUAGCUGGUCUGAGAGGAUGAUCAGCCACACUGGGACUGAGACACGGCCCAGACUCCUACGGGAGGCAGCAGUGGGGAAUAUUGGACAAUGGGCGCAAGCCUGAUCCAGCCAUGCCGCGUGAGUGGCGAAGGCCUUAGGGUUGUAAAGCUCUUUUGGCGGGGAAGAUAAUGACGGUACCCGCAGAAUAAGCUCCGGCUAACUUCGUGCCAGCCGCCGCGGUAAUAC
rnacentral:rRNA from 1 species